rnacentral:misc_RNA from 1 species
CCCACGGGCCAUGGACACUUCUCGCACGCCGAGUGUGUGCAGGGAAACGGGCGGAGCAGCCCUGAGCAGAGGUGAGCGGCGCCCUCAGGGACGACGGGGUAGCCCCACACCGACUGCGGGUCCCGUCCACACAGGUCUGGCUAACACCUCCUACACCAGCCCAGGCCUCCAGAGGCUGAAGGACUCUCCACAGACAGCCCCGGACAAAGGCCAGUGCUCCACGUGGGGGGCUGGUCACUUCUCCACCUUCGACCACCACGUGUACGACUUCUCGGGGACGUGCAACUACAUCUUCGCGGCCACCUGCAAGGACGCCUUCCCCACCUUCAGUGUCCAGCUGCGGCGAGGCCCAGACGGGAGCAUCUCGCGGAUCAUCGUGGAGCUGGGGGCCUCCGUCGUCACUGUGAGCGAAGCCAUCAUCUCAGUCAAGGACAUCGGGGUCAUCAGCCUGCCCUAUACCAGCAAUGGACUCCAGAUCACACCCUUCGGCCAGAGCGUGCGGCUGGUGGCCAAGCAGCUGGAGCUGGAGCUGGAAGUCGUGUGGGGUCCUGAC